GUUAUAUGGUCAAGCGACUAAGCGUAUACGGUGGAUGCCUUGGCAGUCAGAGGCGAUGAAGGACGUGGCAGCCUGCGAAAAGUGUCGGGGAGCUGGCAACAAGCUUUGAUCCGGCAAUGUCCGAAUGGGGAAACCCACCGCUUAGGCGGUAUCGUGCAGUGAAUACAUAGCUGUACGAGGCGAACCCGGGGAACUGAAAUAUCUAAGUACCCGGAGGAAAAGAAAUCAACCGAGAUUCCGUCAGUAGCGACGAGCGAACGCGGACUAGCCCAAAAGUGUCUUAUAUUCUAGUCGAACAGCGUGGAAAAGCUGGCCGUAGACGGUGAUAGCCCGGUAGACGAAAGGGUACAUGACAUGAAAUUGAGUAAGGCGAGGCACGUGAAACCUUGUCUGAACAUGGGGGGACCAUCCUCCAAGGCUAAAUACUCCUGACUGACCGAUAGCGAACUAGUACCGUGAGGGAAAGGCGAAAAGAACCCCGGAGAGGGGAGUGAAAUAGACCCUGAAACCGUAUACGUACAAGCAGUGGAAGCCCGCAAGGGUGACUGCGUACCUUUUGUAUAAUGGGUCAGCGACUUACUGUCAGUGGCAAGCUUAACCGUAUAGGGGAGGCGAAGGGAAACCGAGUCUGAAUAGGGCGAAUAGUCUCUGGCAGUAGACCCGAAACCGAGUGAUCUAUCCUUGACCAGGUUGAAGGUGCGGUAACACGCACUGGAGGACCGAACCCACAUCUGUUGCAAUAGAUGGGGAUGAGUUGAGGAUCGGAGUGAAAGGCUAAACAAACUCGGAGAUAGCUGGUUCUCCUCGAAAGCUAUUUAGGUAGCGCCUCGUGCGAACACUGUUGGGGGUAGAGCACUGUUAUGGCUAGGGGGUCAUUGAGACUUACCAAACCAUGGCAAACUCCGAAUACCAACACGUGAUACACGGGAGACACACGGCGGGUGCUAACGUCCGUCGUGAAAAGGGAAACAACCCAGACCCGCAGCUAAGGUCCCAAAGUCAUAGCUAAGUGGAAAACGAUGUGGAAAGGCAUAGACAGCCAGGAGGUUGGCUUAGAAGCAGCCACCCUUUAAAGAAAGCGUAAUAGCUCACUGGUCGAGUCGGUCUGCGCGGAAGAUUUAACGGGGCUAAGCUAUGCACCGAAGCUCGGGGUGUACAGAUUUUGAUCUGUACGCGGUAGAGGAGCGUUCCGUAGGCCUGUGAAGGUGGAUUGUAAAGUCUGCUGGAGGUAUCGGAAGUGCGAAUGCUGACAUGAGUAACGAUAAGGGGGGUGAAAAGCCUCCCCGCCGAAAGCCCAAGGUUUCCUCGCGCAACGUUCAUCGGCGCAGGGUGAGUCGGCCCCUAAGGCGAGGCAGAAAUGCGUAGUCGAUGGGAAGCAGGUUAAUAUUCCUGCACUUUUCUACAGUGCGAUGUGGGGACGGAGAAGGUUAGGUCUACCAGGCGUUGGUUGUCCUGGGGAAAGGCGGUAGGCAUGAUUCUUAGGCAAAUCCGGGAAUCUUUAUGCCGAGCACCGAGACGAGUCCUUUGGGACGAAGUGACUGACACCACGCUUCCAGGAAAAGCCACUAAGCUUCAGCUGUAGAAAAACCGUACCGCAAACCGACACAGGUAGGCAGGGUGAGAAUCCCAAGGCGCUUGAGAGAACUCGGGUGAAGGAACUAGGCAAAAUGGCACCGUAACUUCGGGAGAAGGUGCGCCUCUUGGUGUGGUCACGUGCGUGACUGAGCAUCGAGGGGUCGCAGUAACCUGGCCGCUGCGACUGUUUAU
rnacentral:rRNA from 1 species